AUACGUAGGUGGCAAGCGUUGUCCGGAUUUAUUGGGCGUAAAGCGAGCGCAGGCGGUUUUUUAGGUCUGAUGUGAAAGCCUUCGGCUUAACCGGAGAAGGGCAUCGGAAACCGGGAGACUUGAGUGCAGAAGAGGACAGUGGAACUCCAUGUGUAGCGGUGAAAUGCGUAGAUAUAUGGAAGAACACCAGUGGCGAAGGCGGCUGUCUGGUCUGCAACUGACGCUGAGGCUCGAAAGCAUGGGUAGCGAACAGGAUUAGAUACCCUGGUAGUCCAUGCCGUAAACGAUGAGUGCUAAGUGUUGGAGGGUUUCCGCCCUUCAGUGCUGCAGCUAACGCAUUAAGCACUCCGCCUGGGGAGUACGACCGCAAGGUUGAA
rnacentral:rRNA from 2 species